UCAAAGCUUAACCAUAUUUUAAUAUUUUCUGCCUUGAUGACCUUAACUUCUUCACUUCAGCCAUCCUUUUCAUGACUAAACACUUGGUUUUGUCAUCACACAAAGCUCUCCACUUCAUUAGGCUUCAUCAUCCCAUUCUCAGGUGCAAUUAUCCCCUCUAUUUUAAGUUUUCUACCCAUUUAUUCCCACUGUACCUCCUCUUUAACUUCUUUGGUCUUUCAUCCCUUGGCCCUAGCCAUUUCUCCCAGCUUAUCAGCCCAUUUCAGCUUCAGUUAUGUUCCUCCCUGACCCUGUGAAUAAUCAGCUUGAUUACUCUCUCAUCAGUAUCUCCAGUUUUCUAAAUCUUUUGUCUUCUUAUCAUAACCCACAUGAACAUAGCCAACUUGGAACCCCUUUAAAAAUAAAAUAAUUUUUUAAUAUAUUUUUUAU